GUUUACACCUUUAAACAAUGACAUGAAUAUUUAAAAACAACAGUUAACCCUUUCCUUCUCGGCCACGUUUUAAUUUUUUCAAACGAGGGCGCCAAGCUGGCCGCAGAGCCGAGGGAGCACGGGGACACGGGUUUGAGCCCUGAUCCGGGAAGAUCCCACAUGCCACGGAGCAACUAAGCCCAUGUGCCACAACUACUGAACCUGCGUGCUGCAACUACUGAAGCCCACGCGCCUAGAGCCUGUGCUCUGCAACAAGAGAAGCCACCGCAAUGAGAAGCCCAUGCACCACAACGAAGAGUAGCCCCCGCUCACCGCAACUAGAGAAAGCCCGCGCGCAGCAAUGAAGACCCAACGCAGCCAAAAAAAAAAAAAAAAGAUCAAUAUCAGCAGCCCAAACAGACUAAGACAGACUCAUACAGAUGGAAGACGAUGUGAGGACACAGAGAGAAGGCAGCUGUCUACAAGCCAAGGAGAGAAGCCUCCACAGUAACUGACCCUGCCCACACCUUGAACUUGGACUUCCAGCCUCCAGAACUCCGGGUCCUCGAGAUGCUCCAGCCCCGCCUGUUUAUCUUGUGAGCUGCCGAAGGCCCACGCUCCCCCUGCCGCAGCUCCGUCCCCGUGUGAUUACAUCUUUCCUCGCAGCCUGAAAGCAGCCCGUGGGCCCCAGAAGCGCUGGGCGGUGUCCUCUGGGCCAACGUCAAGACAGCAGUGAGGGGUCAGAUGCAAAAGGAGAAGCCGGCUGAAGGGGCUCGUGAUUCUUCAGGGGGCCCUACUGGCAUUUGGGGCAGGACGGACCUGUCAGUGUCUUCAACCCCAUCAAGUAUCCGGUAUCCCUAGUCACUGGGCUGUCCCAACCCAACCCAACCCAAUCCCCACCCCCGCUUCCUGGUGGGACCACCCUGGGCUCCCGGCAGCUGCCUCUGCUCUGCCGUGUAGGUGAAGGGCAAGCCUUCUGCAGCUUCCGGGCGGAGAGCUGGUUCUCCUCGUCUGGACCCUCCUUCUCCACUGGGCAUCCCGGAGGCUCUGUGUCUGCUACGUUUCCGAGCUGCUCGGGCAUCCUAGGGGCCACACCCCCGAGGGUGGACACCCCGGGGCAUCCAGUCUGUGCCCAAGCAUCCAAGUGAGCCUCACUUUCUGUGUUUAUAAAAGGGAGCUCUCCACCCCGGUCUCACAGGAAGAACGGGCCCCAGUGGAGAAGCAGGACUCUGCCCCAGGGGAGAGAGGCGUGCGCUUGACAAGAGCAAAGGGGCCUCUUUCACAAAAUCACAGGAUGUCGGAAAAGAGGUUCUGAGUCAGCACAACUUCUGGGAAUCCAGACAGGGGUGAAGAAUUCCCUGGAGAAACUUUCCCCAGCAAGAGCACUGGAGCAAGAAAGGUAGGAUGUCAGCUCAACCUCAGACCGGUUGACCAGAUGGCUCAAAUUUCAAAUCCUGCAUUCCAAUUUUCCGGGGGAUGCUGCUCUGACCAGAGAGGAGACUGGCCUGCAUGGGAUCUAAGAUAAAUACGAUGCAUGUGAGCACCAAACAGCUGGUAUGUCUGUGGUUUCUGGGUUUCGCUCAGUAAGCCUCAAAAGCAUGAUCUUGGGGCAUUGAGAUGAAUGUCAGGAGACCUGGGGCCUGACACUCGUCAUCAGCAAAGUGGCAGCAGAGGGCCCUGUAUUCGUUUCCUCAGGCUGCUAUAACAAAGUCCUGCGGACUACGCCGCUUAAACAACAGAAAUUUCUUGUGUCACGUUCUGGUGGCUAGAAAUCUGAGAUCAAGGUGUGGGCAGAGUUGGUUCCUUCUGAGGGCUGUGACAGAAGAGUCUGUUCCAGGCUUCUCCCCUUGGCCUGUGGUUGGCUGUCCUCCCCCUGUGUCUUCACGUUGUCAUCCCGCUGUACGUGUCUUGUAUCCCAAUUUCCCCUUCUUAUAAGGACACCAGUCAUAUUGGAUUAGGGCCCACCCUAAUCAUGUCACUUUAAAUUAAUUACCUCUUUAAAGGCCCUAUCUCCAAAUACAGUCACAUUCUGAGGUCCUGGGGGUGUAGGGAUUCAACAUAUGAAUUCUGGGGCCAAUUCAGCCCAUUAGAACCCUUUAACCAACUGGUCUCAAUUUCACCAGCAGAGAAAUAAUGGGUGAGCCUGUGGUUUUCCAGAUUUCUCCUGAUUUUAAGCAGAUUAAGGUUCAGCCUAGAAUUGUGCAUCAACCUACCAAAUGCAGCUGAACGUGUGACUUAGGCCAUGUCAUCUUUCCAGGUUAAAAUUUAUUUAUAAAGCACAGAUAAUAAAAAUAACAUCUAUUUACCUCCCUAGGUGUUCUGAGCCUUAAGUUACAGAUGCAGGGAUGAUGCGUUACAAAACCAAACAAAUCAGUCCUUAGGACAGGCGACUCAGGCAAAUCAACCAUCACCACCACAACAAAACAAGCUUUCAAACCCACAAGAGAAGACAAGAUUGUAAUGCCUUCCUAACAACAUUGCUUUAUUGACGCAAGGCAAGGAAAACUACAUUAAAUUCUAUUGAUUCUCUUUGAGAUCUAAUAAUAUGCUUUAUUCAGAUCUUAUUCACAUCCCUCUUCUUCCACGGGUCUAUCUCAGGAGCUGAAAUUGGCCAGUUACAAAACAGAAUUGGUUCUGCUGUCAUUGGAAGUCACAGAGGCAAACGUGUUUUCGAACACAAAAUCUACCAUGCUUUCUUUGGGAAACAAGGCACAGUUGGGGAAAAAAAAAAAAUCUCACUUCUAAACAAAAUUGAAAGCAUGGCUAACUUGAGAUUUAUUUGAUUACAGUCUUUCUCCGGGCUAAUCCGUUUUAGAACCCAUUCCUACUGGCACCAAUGAGCCAAUAAAAGAUCCAGCAGGAGAGAAGAAGUAUCACAUCAACUCAGAGAAACAAGGUUGUUCAUUUUUUUAAAAAGCAUUGAAUUAAUGUUUACACUGCUGAGUCAAGUUAUUUCUACAUAUGCUAUAGGCUUUGCAUCUCCAGAAUAUGUUAGCAUUAAGAGUAUGAUAAAUUGUACCUGACUUACUUGUGAAAAAUCAUCUUGAGAAAGGUUUUUUUCCCCUGGGAAAAUAUGGAAAUGACACAUGGUGUGUACAGCCAGAAACAGCAGAAGGAGAGGCAGGUUUUUAGCUGUCACAGUGGAUGGUUAAGAAUUUCGGAUUUGGGUCAGUGUCAUUAUGCUCAAGUCACUUCACCUCGAAACCUCAUUCUUCAUCUCUAGAAUAGGUUCCAAACUCAGUGUUUUCUGUAAAUAUUCAAUAGUCUAAUACAUCACAGAGUUCGACAUUAACCCUCCCAGAGGCCAAUAAGAAUCCAAUAAAUGCCAGCUUCUCUAUCAUAUUAUUACAGAAGAAUGCUUGCAUGCUUUACCUUUCGUCUGUGGAAAAAUCACGAGAAGGAUUAAGUUUGUUGAAAAGAAAGGUGGGUCUUGGGCCCCCUUAGCACAUGUUUUCUCCAUCCUUUCUAAAAAGUGAUGUUAACAAGUUAACAGGUGUUAGGGAGAAGGUGGAGUAACCAGAACCCUCCUACGUUGCUGGUGGGAAUGUAAAAGAAUGUAGACCUUUUGGAAAACUCUUUGGUGGCGCCUCAAAAGCUAAACAGAUAUGGCCCAGCAGUUCCACUCCUAGGUGUAUACUCAGGAGAAUUGAAAACAUGCAUUCAUACAAAAACUGGUUCAUAAAUGUUCACCGCAGGAUUAUUUGCUGUAGUGGAAAGGUGGAAAGACACAGCUCGAGUGUCUAGCAACUAAUGAAUGGAUAAACAUAUGGAACAGCUAUGCCAGGAAAUUUUAUUUGGCAACAACGGACAGUGAGGUACGGACACAAGCUACAACAUGGAUAAACCCUGAAAACAUGAUGCUAAUGGAAAGAAACCCGUCACAAAAGGCUACAUACAGCAUGAUUUCAUUCAUAAGAAACAUCCAGAAUAAACAGCUCUAUAGAGACAGGAAGUAAUUAGUGGUUGCCUAGGGCUGGGAGGGAGGGCAGGAAUGGGGAGUGACCACUAAUGGACACAGGGUUUCUUUUUGGAAGGAUGAAAAAUUUCUGGAAUUAGAGAGUGAUGAUGGUUGUACAACUUUGUGAAUAUUCUCAGAACACUGCACUGUACCUUCUAAAAUGGUGAAUUUUAUGCUUUAUGAAUUGUAUCUGGAAAAAAAAUCAAUGAAUGCUUAAUGUGGAAAAUAAGAAAACAAGGAAACAAAAAUUGUCAUUGUAGCAUCCAGAGAUAAUCACUGCAAAUGCUUUGAUGUAGAUCCUUCCAGACUGAUGCA